rnacentral:tRNA from 1 species
AUUAAGAAGCUAGGCUAGCGUUAACCUUUUAAGUUAAAGAUUGGGAGCUACACGUUCCCCUUAAU